CAUAAACUCAUUAACUGCUUUUUUUUCAGAGCAACUCUUACCGAGACUGGCAUUAACAUCUUCCUUCGGAGACAGAGAGGAGAACACAGAAAUACUGGUUUUCAAAUCAUCACAUGGUAGUUGUUUACACAUGAAGCAUUUUGGGAAAGAAACCGACAGUGUUUUCCACAAGUUUAACUGAAUGGCUGAAGGUACUGAAAUUUCUGUGAAGACUGGUCAUGGAAAACAAGCAAGUUCCUUUUUUGUUGGGAGUUGCUGUUCGUGAAUCGUUCUCCUCAUACCUUGGCGCAGCUACAACUUCCUUGUAACUUUUGUCCCCUGCUUACCUGAGUGGCAACAGUGACUGCAAACUAAGAAACAAUGCUAAACCUACUUUGGGUCACCUACAAGUUUUUGGGCAUCAUCCCAAUAUCCAUGGCCAUUAUGAGGAUGGACAGGAAAGUGAGUAAAAAUAAGGGUUAUAACUACUAACAAAGUUGAAUUGUGGCUUAACGAUCAAAGCAGAACCAUAAGUAUAUGGAACAUGCACACACACAUAAUUUUUCAACAGGGAAGCGGGUUAAGGUGUUACCUUUUGAGCCUUGAUUUCACAAUGGAGAUCAUGCAAGACUGCUUGUGGAGAUUCAUCUUCAUAGUCUUCAAGAUGUAUGUUCACAUAAAAGAAUUUAGAAAGUAAAA